UUUAGUUUCCAGCAAAACAAUACCUCUUCAGGAUUUGGGAAAACUGAAGGUACUCGGAGGGAAACUGAAAGUCGUUUAGGAAAUGGUAGCCGGAGAUGGAUAAUGGUUAUAUACACACCUUACAGAAGGUUUUCAUGGAUCUGAUAUUUCCGAUAUAGUACUUGGCAUGUAAGCCAGCAUCUCGUGAACGUUUUCAGAUCAUGGCAAGCUCAAUGGUCACAACGCCACCAUAAUUGUUAUGAGGUAGGACUCUGCUCCCGAGCCUUUGCCAGCUUUGCUUGGGUAAGCCUGUCCAGGAUAGAAGGUUCCAGAGGAAUUGGAUCAAGACAUCGCUCAGCAGCAGCAACAAUUACCUCAUCAAGCAAAAAAUCAACAGCAGCUUCAUCAUCGGCAGUGUCCUUCAGAGUAGUUUUAAGAAAAUGGAUGUCCAGCUGAAUUUGUUGAAAUCCACUACGGUUAAAAGUCUGAAGUCGGACAAAUUCUUGUAAACUCUUCAAGCAAAGUUUCACGAUAGUAGUUAUUACUGAGUCCUGUGUAUGUUCAACUUUUGUGAAAAUUUCCAUCUUCUGCUUAAACAAUUUCGCCAAAUGGGACUCAAGGAGUUGACUUCUCGCCUGCUGGGUAUUUGACCGUACCAUUCUGUCAUCUCUUAAUGGAUUACUACGGGAGGAAAUGGUGCUCCCACUGCUGUCAGAACGGCGAUGCUUACGCUGGAUCCCUUCAGGCAACAUAUUCUUUACUUCUUUAAUGAUACUAUCUAGCUCUUGAAGAAGCAGAUCAACAAACAUAUGAACUUCUCUGGGCUCUUUAUGCUUGACCCAAUUUGGCGUUGUAAACCUUUUAUUCAAGACAAAUGAUAUCUUCUGAGUUCUCAUGUUAAUAUAAUGCUGCAAGAAUUUUUCACCAGCUGCUCUGAAGGUGCGACAAAUUUCUGCAGGAACAAAAGCUGGACCAUUUUCAUAGCCCCGAGACCCACCACCAGAGAAAGAUGAGGCAAUUUCCUCGGUAAUUCUGGGAAUGGCAUUUUGCUCAACAAAAACAGAGAGUUGAACGAGCACAAGAACAAGCCCAGGAAGUAUUUUGUCUCUCUGUAUUCCCUCAUGAAAGCUUAGAUCUUGACCGGCUGGAUUUUUCUUUCCAGAAAGUAAGAAAAAAUGAUCAUUAAGUUUCCUGAAGAAGUCCUGAAAUCCUUCUUGUACCCAGUCAAUAACCAAAUCUCUCAACUUAGAAAGCAGUUCCAAGUUUUCAUCAAGAAGUUGACGGAAAUCCUGUAAGACAUCCAUACUGCCUUGCACUACUGCCUUUUUACUGGCCUCAAGGAUGGCCUGCAAAGAAUUUUUUUCUUCAAUACCCUCCAUUUGAUUACCCACUUUGACGACAGCACCUGAAAUAUCAAGUAGAAGAUGGCUAAAUCUGCUAGCAACGUACUGUUUAACGGCAACAUGAGCAGCCUCCAUGGUAAUAUCACGCAGACCAGCCUCAGGCAACACUCCAUCCAUGAGCAGCCUCCAUGGUAAUAUCACGCAGACCAGCCUCAGGCAACACUCCAUC
rnacentral:misc_RNA from 1 species